AAAGCACUGUUUCGGNUGCGGGCUGCGAGAGCGGUACCAAAUCGAGAUAAACUCUGAAUACCCAGAGAACACAUUGCCAGUGAGACGGUGGGGGAUAAGCUUCAUCGUCAAGAGGGAAACAGCCCAGACCACCAGCUAAGGUCCCCAAAUCAUCGCUAAGUGGCAAAGGAGGUGGGAGUGCAUAGACAACCAGGAGGUUUGCCUAGAAGCAGCCACCCUUGAAAGAGUGCGUAAUAGCUCACUGGUCAAGCGCUCCUGCGCCGAAAAUGAAUGGGACUAAGCGAUGUACCGAAGCUGUGGACUUGUAUUGAGUUACAAGUGGUAGGGGAGCGUUCUGUAUAGGAAGAAGCACUAGCGGCGAGCAGGUGUGGACAGUACAGAAGUGAGAAUGUCGGCUUGAGUAGCGCAAACAUUGGUGAGAAUCCAAUGCCCCGAAACCCCAAGGGUUCCAGAGCCAGGUUCGUCCACUCUGGGUUAGUCGGGUCCUAAGGCGAGGUCGAACGGCGUAGUCGAUGGACACAGGGUGAAUAAUCCCUGACUAAAGUAUAGGAGCAUUGCUAGGGACGCAUUCUGGUAGGCUACACCCUAAUUGGAUUGGGAGGAGUUUACGAACUCCGAGUAGUUGAAACGAGUGCCAAGAAAAGCUAGUAAUGUGUUGAGAAUACUUUACCCGUACCCGAAACCGACACAGGUGGGGAGGUUGAGAAUACUAAGGGGCGCGAGAUAACUCUCUCUAAGGAACUCGGCAAAAUGGCCCCGUAACUC
rnacentral:rRNA from 1 species